rnacentral:rRNA from 1 species
CCUACGGGAGGCAGCAGUGGGGAAUCUUGCGCAAUGGGCGAAAGCCUGACGCAGCAACGCCGCGUGCGGGAAGAAGGCUUUCGGGCUGUAAACCGCUUUCAGCAGGAACGAAAAUGACGGUACCUGCAGAAGAAGGAGCGGCCAACUAUGUGCCAGCAGCCGCGGUGAUACAUAGGCUUCAAGCGUUGUCCGGAUUUAUUGGGCGUAAAGAGUUCGUAGGCGGUCAAGUAAGUCGGGUGUGAAAAUUCUGGGCUCAACCCAGAGACGCCACCCGAUACUGCUUAACUUGAGUUCGAUAGGGGAGUGGGGAAUUCCUAGUGUAGCGGUGAAAUGCGCAGAUAUUAGGAGGAACACCGGUGGCGAAGGCGCCACUCUGGAUCGAUACUGACGCUGAGGAACGAAAGCAUGGGUAGCAAACAGGAUUAGAUACCCUGGUAGUCCAUGCCGUAAACGGUGGGCACUAGGUGUGGGUUUCUAGUUAACGAAAUCCGCGCCGUCGCUAACGCAUUAAGUGCCCGCCUGGGGAGUACGGUCGCAAGACUAAAACUCAAAUGAAUUGACGG